GACAGAGGGUGCAAACGUUGUUCGGAAUUACUGGGCGUAAAGCGCGUGUAGGCUGCUCCGAUAGUCGGAUGUGAAAGCCCUGGGCUCAACCUAGGAAGUGCAUUCGAUACUCCGGAGCUUGAGUCCUGGAGAGGAAGGCGGAAUUCUCGGUGUAGAGGUGAAAUUCGUAGAUAUCGGGAGGAACACCGGUGGCGAAGGCGGCGAUCUGGGUCGAUACUGACGCUGAGGUGCGAAAGCGUGGGGAGCAAACAGG
rnacentral:rRNA from 1 species